CCUACGGGAGGCAGCAGUGGGGAAUUUUGGACAAUGGGCGCAAGCCUGAUCCAGCCAUGCCGCGUGCAGGAUGAAGGCCUUCGGGUUGUAAACUGCUUUUGUACGGAACGAAAAGACUCUGGUUAAUACCUGGGGUCCAUGACGGUACCGUAAGAAUAAGCACCGGCUAACUACGUGCCAGCAGCCGCGGUAAUACGUAGGGUGCGAGCGUUAAUCGGAAUUACUGGGCGUAAAGCGUGCGCAGGCGGUUAUAUAAGACAGAUGUGAAAUCCCCGGGCUCAACCUGGGAACUGCAUUUGUGACUGUAUAGCUAGAGUACGGCAGAGGGGGAUGGAAUUCCGCGUGUAGCAGUGAAAUGCGUAGAUAUGCGGAGGAACACCGAUGGCGAAGGCAAUCCCCUGGGCCUGUACUGACGCUCAUGCACGAAAGCGUGGGGAGCAAACAGGAUUAGAUACCCUGGUAGUCCACGCCCUAAACGAUGUCAACUGGUUGUUGGGUCUUCACUGACUCAGUAACGAAGCUAACGCGUGAAGUUGACCGCCUGGGGAGGUACGGCCGCGAGUAGAACGUACGAANAGAGUUAGACGGCGUGAGACGUGCCGACGGACGACGACGAGGGGAGGAGG
rnacentral:rRNA from 1 species